AAGGAACAAAGGGAAGAUUAGAUGAACAACCAUUGUAAGAGGAAGGGGGUCUGCUGUGCAAAGUGUGGUAAGGGGCCUUAGGACUAAAGUUUUCAAAUGGUAAAUGCGGGAAAUUUGCAGAGAGAACUGAAGACAGGGAUGAGUUACACACAGUGAACAGCAGGGGACACAAAAUUGAGAAGUUAUUCUCUACAUAGCAAUGCACAAUGAAAUCUCAUGUUGUAGUGGAAAGCAGAUGAAUUUUGGAGGCAGACAGACUGUUUGAUUUCACCUUGCUCCAUCACGUAUCUUUGGGAAUGGCAUGUCAAUUUCCCCUGGCAAAGGAGAAACAAGAAUACUUGCUCCUUAGGAUUCCUGUGAAUAUUAAACA
ensembl:lncRNA